rnacentral:lncRNA from 1 species
UUCGCUUACCGAAAGGUGUUGCCCCGACGACACCGCACUGGCAAAUGCCACGAGAGACGGGUCCGCGAGUCCCAGGUGCCGGCCAGCCGCUGCCUUUCACCCGGCGGGCACGCCUUUCCCGCCGGAGGCUAUCGCACGGCGGACUGGCCUCACACGCACUCUGGUACUCCGGCCCGCCGCUCCUCACCGACGUACGCGUCGCGCUAAAUUUUGCCCUUACAUUGGGGAUCGGCACGAUGACGGCUCUUCGCCAGUCUGCCGGGACCUCCCCCCUCAGCCAGGACUGAUUGAUGAGGCGCAGGAGCAGGGCCUUGGCGGUGGGGCCGAGGUGCUUCAGGUGCUCCGCGCAGAUGUUGUCUGGUCCUGGGGCCUUCUUGUUGCGCAGCUUCCGCAGCUGGAUAUCCAUCUCUGUUGUGGAGAACGGUCCGCAGCAGCUGGCGUCCUCUCUUUCCCCCGCGCAGGCAGUGCACGGGGGGCGGCUGCGUUGAAUCAGUUCAUGUUUUACCUUGCGGUCUAACUUCCUCGACCGGACUUGCCGGCUGACCCGUGAGUAGGUUCGCGCGAAGGAGGUCGCCUUCUCAAGGUCCUCCACGGCAAGGCCAUGGUCCCCUUGGAGAGCGUGGCCGGGGCAAGCCUGCACCGACCCCUCCAUCUUGCGCAGCACCUUGGUCACCAGGCCGAUGCUGGUCGGCUUGUUCAGCGUUGUUGUGGCAAAGUCGCGGAAGCUGCGCGUCUUGGCUUUGUCUUCAGUGAUGGCGGCAUGGCGCUUAGCCGUCAGCCACCGUUCCCUCGCCUCCCGGGAACGAUCCGUUCGCAUGGCGUCUCUCGCCUCCCGGCGCUCCGCCACGGCCCGCACAAGUUCCGGGUCCAGGGCCCACGGUUUUGGGUCGGCUCGCGCGCCCCGCGGGAUCAUCUCCACACUGUGAGCUAACAGCGUCUGGCUAAACACUGCCAGGAGUUGCUCGGUGGUGGCGCCCGGCGGGGGUGAGCUCGUCUCGAGUGUCCGCUCGAUGCCGUCGCGGAAUCCGACCCAGUCCGCCUUGUGGAAGGCCCACUUCGUUUUCCGGAUGCGCCGCGGCCGGCCGCCGUGGCACACGACCUCGACGAGUUGCGGUAGGUGGUCACUGCCGAGGUCAUCCCCGAUAGACCACGCACACCUCCUCGCAAGGCCGCGCGUGCAGACGGUGACGUCUGGGGCUCCGGUGUUCCCCCUGUAGUCGGCGUGGGUCGGAGCGCCAGAGUUGAGGACAGACCAGUCCCCGGCCUCGCACCAGGCGGCCAGGCGGCGGCCGACGUCAUCCGCGUCGUCACACUGGUGGUCCCACCUCGGGUGAUGCGCGUUGAAAUCCCCGGUGAUAAUGCAGUCUGAAGUGGGUCUGAGAGUGAGGGCGAACCUGUCCUCCCUCUCGUCGCUCUCGCCCGUACGGAUGGGCGGCCUGUAUAUGUUAUGGAUGUCGAUGGUGGUCGGUUGACUAGAAUGUUGACUAGGUGGGAGGAGCAGUCGGGCACCACACCACUCUGUGCUGUCGUCGGAGGCGUCGAGUGGGCGGUCCUCAAGUCUGGUGAAGCUGAGUCCGUCCCGGAUGUAUAUUACAACGUCCCCUCCUUUCACAGGGCCGUCUGUUCUACGCCCUCGCACUCGACGGGCGACCGAGGCGAUCUGGAAACCAGGGAGGGCGAUGUUUUUCUUCGCCGGCAGCUGGGCCUCCUGGAUCACCGCCACGUCUACCUUGUUGUCCGACAGCCAACGUUGAACCUCCAGCGUUUUCUUCCGGAGACCCUCCGCGUUCCAGCUCAGUAUGAGCAGGCGGCUUCGGACACGGCAGUUUCUUCUGUAGCGGCGAUUCUUCUUAGCCCUCCUACUGCGGCGACCUCCCCCGCUCCGGCCGCCCGUGACCCCGCCGCCCGUGUCGGCGGCGGGGGGCGCCAGGCUAUUCAUUCAGCGCGGGCCGGGGCCGCUGCGGGGGACCGGCCAUCGGCCCCCCUGGCGCGGCACCCGGUCCCGCUGGUGGGCAUCCGCUGCCCCGGGCGAUUGGAGAUGGUGAAGGUCGGACCAGGUCGGGGACGUAGUCGCCGCGGUGCACUACCAGGACACGAUUGUUUUACUUGUGCCAAGGACAGUUUCUACUUUUUACGUUUGUGUCGGCUGAAGGAAGUUUCAGCCCAGCGAAGUUUCAUUGAGUGGCCACAGGCGCAAUGUUUUGUUUUCAUAGGUAUAUGGAAAGGCGUGCAUGUAUGAGUGCCAGACGGCUAUACCGUACUGGAACCGGUGAUACAACUCGCACCAUUCUCCCUUAACUCGUCAAGGGUUUCGGUGUUUUGUUAUGUCAACAGGGUUACAGAUGUCAGCCGCCUGUCAACAGUCUCUCAGCUUCCGUCACCUGUCAGCUGUGUCAGCUGUCUGUCAGCCGUCUCUCAGCUGUCUGUCAGCUGUCUGUCAGCUGUUUGUCAGCUAUCUGUCAGCUAUCUGUCAGUUGGCGGUCUGUCAGUGGCCUGAGUCAGCGGACAGUCACCCAGCAGCAGAUUUGCUUCAUUUCGCUCCACCAGCUGCUCCACAGAUUUCCUCUACCGAUUGUGUUGUCGACUAUUAGCUCGUUUCAUGGUCGGCCAUUCAAUACAGUGCUGUGCUUCAAA